rnacentral:rRNA from 1 species
GGGCUAGCGUUGCUCGGAAUCACUGGGCGUAAAGCGCACGUAGGCGGAUCUUUAAGUCAGGGGUGAAAUCCUGGAGCUCAACUCCAGAACUGCCUUUGAUACUGGGGAUCUCGAGUCCGGAAGAGGUGAGUGGAACUCCGAGUGUAGAGGUGAAAUUCGUAGAUAUUCGGAAGAACACCAGUGGCGAAGGCGACAUACUGGUCCGUUACUGACGCUGAGGCUCGAAAGCGUGGGGAGCAAACAGG